GAAGGUGGUGAGCUCGAAGAUGGUUAUGCAGAGGGGGCGGUCUGAUGGUCCGCAAUCCCGACAGAUGAGGAUUGCUGAAUGCCUUGUGGGGGAUGAGACUGGAAUUAUUGUUUUCACUGCCAGGAAUGAGCAAGUUAAUGUGAUGACACCUGGAAAAACCGUGGUACUUCGUAACGCAAAGAUUGACAUGUUCAAGGGAUCAAUGAGACUGGCUGUAG
rnacentral:misc_RNA from 1 species